UUCAGACCUUGGGAGAAAGCAAAAGGAGUCCUAUGUCUCCUGAGAUGCUGGGUCUGGGGUCAGAUAAAGGCUAUUGUUCACAGAGCACUUUAAAGGCCUCAACAGCUCAUUCGGAGGCAUUCCUGGCUCGCACCGGUCCCGAAGUCACUCCAUCUACCCUGGUUUCACCUCUCCGGCCCUCUUCAUCACCAUCGAGGAUCCCACACAUACAGCAAGAAGUCCAGACAAGGUUUUUCUUGGAGAAACAUGCCAGUGAGUUGGUGCACCUGGAGCUGUCCUUAAUGACAGAAGAAAUAAACACAAUCUGCUCCUUUUAUGAAUCAUCCAAAGCUCUGGAAAAGGAAGAGCAUAAAGAAAGCCGGGAUAUGAAAAGCAAUAAAGAGAUGGAGAUGGGCAGGAAACGGGACACCCUUCUGCAAGACCUG
rnacentral:lncRNA from 1 species